rnacentral:rRNA from 1 species
AUGGCCACCACCAGCAAGCAGGCUCUGGCUCUCGCUGCUCUCCUGGUCCUGGUCACCGGCACCCACCUCAUUGCCGCCGCAAGGGCCCCGGUCACUGUAACCGGCAUUGGCGUUGGAGGAGGUGGCUACGGUGGUGGUGGAGGUGGAGGAGAAGGCGGUGGAAGCGGCGGUCAUGGUUAUGGCUACGGUUCAGGCUAUGGUGCUGGAUAUGGCUCUGGAGGCGGCAUCGGUGGUGGUGGUGGCGGUGGCCAUGGCGGCGGUGGUGGUGGAGGAAGUGGUGGCAUGGGCUCAGGGUACGGCUCCGGUUACGGCAGUGGUUAUGGCUCGGGUUACGGUGCUGGCGGUCAAGGUGGUGGGGGAGGUAGUGGAGGAGGAGGCGGUGGUGGAUCCGGCUAUGGCAGUGGAGGUGGCUAUGGGUCUGGGUAUGGAGAAGGCUAUGGUUCAGGAGGUGGCAUGAACGGUGGCGGUGGAGGAGGCGGCGGUGGAGGGGGAGGUGGUGGUGGCGGCGGCAGUGGUGGUUUUGGGCAUGGAAGCGGCGGAGGCUAUGGUUAUGGCAGUGGAGGUGGCUAUGGCGGCGAGCAUGGCCACUGA